CUGGAAGCAUGGUGGUUAAGAGCACAUGUUUUGGAGUCAACAUGCCUGAAUACUGCUGUUUGGUCAAGCCAUUUAAUCUCUCAUUGUCUCAGUUUCCUCAUCUGAAAACGGGUCGAUUGAUUCCAGAAGUUGAAAACUAACCCACCACGCUUACAUAAUUGUGACUCUGUGGGUAUGGUUAUCUCAGUGUGGCAACGCUACAUUACGCACCCCGUGGGUCCACUGUCACAAUGGAGAGGACCUUUGAAAAGGCGCAGAGGACAGCUGGUUGGGAAGGUGUUUGGUGCAUAGGAGGGCGCGGAACAUGAUGGGUUCCCACACUUGAGCAAAUGUGUCAUUUUUGCGGAUUCCUCACAGUUAAAACAACAAUCAAAUAAGGGCAGAGAUCAUGGAGCCCACCAUCCUAAAGGAACUAGACUGUUGCCAAAAUGGGAAGGUCCCCUGUGAUCCACCCAAAUAAAAUCUUCCCACCAGCCA